UUCGAACAAGGCCUCCCCAAAAUAUUGAUAAUCCACUCAAGCCACUUGAUCUCAUUCGGUUAGCUAUCUGCGAGUCCAAGUUUCGCCCAGAACUUGGAAAAACUUGACCCCGAAGACGACUUUGAGGAGCAAGAGUAGGGAGAUCUUCCGCGUGAAUAACUGCAGCUUGCCUAUGAUGAAGAUGAACUCCAGGGGUAUCAUACAAUUUUUCACCACCAAGGAAAGCAUCAAUUGGGAUUGGACCCAAUGUCGUUCCGGGAACAGCUGAUUGUAUUGGUUUGUGUUUCCGUGCAGAGGCUGCAACUGGGUCCUUAUAUGACAUUGUAUUUAACAGUGCAUUGAUGAAUGCAGAUUUUCCCACGUUUGCUGAGCCCAGAAUGUAUACAUCCCUUCCCUUUUUCUCCUUUUGGAUUUCUG
rnacentral:misc_RNA from 1 species